rnacentral:rRNA from 1 species
ACAGAUCGUUCAGAGUUUGAUCCUGGCUCAGGACGAACGCUGGCGGCGUGCCUAACACAUGCAAGUCGAACGAAGAUUUGAGAGCUUGCUUUAAAUCUUAGUGGCGGACGGGUGAGUAACGCGUGAGAAACCUGCCUUUCAGAGGGGGAUAAUGUUUGGAAACGAACGCUAAUACCGCAUAACGUAUGAGGGUCGCAUGAUUCACAUACCAAAGGAGCAAUCCGCUGAAAGAUGGUCUCGCGUCCGAUUAGCUAGUUGGUGAGAUAACAGCCCACCAAGGCGACGAUCGGUAGCCGGACUGAGAGGUCGAACGGCCACAUUGGGACUGAGACACGGCCCAG